rnacentral:tRNA from 1 species
GUGACGUUACUCGUCUGGUGACGAGGGCUGCGUGUGAAGCAGCGGAGACGGGUUCGAUCCCCGUACGUCACA